AAAAAGAAUUUCAGACCAACUGUGAUGACUCAGAAGCAAGAGACUCGGGUCCAAUGCAGUCCAGUGGAGGUGACAAGACAGAUCCUGCAGCUUCAUUCUUUAGAUUCAACAGAAACCCCUCUCAAAAAUCUGAAGUGGACACUUAUUUGGAUGCCCCAACUACAGAUGGGUUUGAAGAAUACAAGCAGUUUCCAAGACUCAGAAGGCUCUUCAUAAAACACAACACUGCACUCCCCUCAAGCACUCCGGUAGAGAGGCUCUUCAGCAUCGGUGGUCAAAUAUUCAGGCCCAGGACAAACCGGCUAGGUGAUGCCAAUUUCGAGAAGCAGCUGAUAUUGAAUGCCAACACAAAGAUUUGAAGGAAGAAAGAAACAGAAGAUCCACCAGGGAGAGACCACUGUGACUGACUGACCAGUGUGACAGAGAAAACUUUUGACAUUU